GACGAACGCUGGCGGCGUGCCUAAUACAUGCAAGUUGAGCGCUGAAGGUUGGUACUUGUACCAACUGGAUGAGCAGCGAACGGGUGAGUAACGCGUGGGGAAUCUGCCUUUGAGCGGGGGACAACAUUUGGAAACGAAUGCUAAUACCGCAUAAAAACUUUAAACACAAGUUUUAAGUUUGAAAGAUGCAAUUGCAUCACUCAAAGAUGAUCCCGCGUUGUAUUAGCUAGUUGGUGAGGUAAAGGCUCACCAAGGCGAUGAUACAUAGCCGACCUGAGAGGGUGAUCGGCCACAGUGGGACUGAGACACGGCCCAAACUCCUACGGGAGGCAGCAGUAGGGAAUCUUCGGCAAUGGACGAAAGUCCGACCGAGCAACGCCGCGUGAGUGAAGAAGGUUUUCGGAUCGUAAAACUCUGUUGGUAGAGAAGAACGUUGGUGAGAGUGGAAAGCUCAUCAAGUGACGGUAACUACCCAGAAAGGGACGGCUAACUACGUG
rnacentral:rRNA from 1 species